AGAGUUUGAUCCUGGCUCAGGAUGAACGCUGGCGGCGUGGCUAAGGCAUGCAAGUCUUAGGGGUGUAGCAAUACAUCACUGGCAAACGGGUGCGUAACACAUUGGUAACCUACCUCACAGCCGUGGAUAACCUGCCGAAAGGCGGACUAAUACACGAUGGUCAGUACCUCGAAAGAGGCUACUGUAAAGCUCCGGCGCUGUGAGAGGGGCCUAUGGUCCAUCAGCUAGUUGGUAGGGUAACGGCCUACCAAGGCAAUGACGGAUAGCGGGUGUGAGAGCAUGACCCGCCUCACUGGGACUGAGACACUGCCCAGACUCCUACGGGAGGCUGCAGUCGCGAAUCUUCCUCAAUGGCCGAAAGGCUGAAGGAGCGACGCCGCGUGCAGGAUGAAGGUUUUAGGAUUGUAAACUGCUUUUGCACGGGACGAACAAAUGACGGUACCGUGCGAAUAAGAGGUUGCUAACUCUGUGCCAGCAGCAGCGGUAAUACAGAGACCUCGAGCGUUAUCCGGAUUUAUUGGGCGUAAAGCGUGCGUAGGUGGCUUUUUAAGUUGCGGGUUAAAUCCAGGAGCUCAACUCCUGACAGGCCCGCAAAACUGGGAAGCUAGAGGACGGAAGAGGCAAACGGAAUUACAGGUGUAGCGGUAGAAUGCGUUAAUAUCUGUAAGAACACCAAAUGCGUAGGCAGUUUGCUGGUACGUUUCUGACACUGUUGCACGAAAGCGUGGGGAGCAAAGAGGAUUAGAUACCCUCGUAGUCCACGCUGUAAACGAUGGGCACUAGACUUUGGAAGUAUCGACCCUUUCAGAGUCGCACUAUAAAAGCUAACGCGUUAAGUGCCCCGCCUGGGGAGUACGGUCGCAAGAUUAAAACUCAAAGGAAUUGACGGGGACCCGCACAAGCGGUGGAGCAUGUGGUUUAAUUCGACGGUAAGCGAGGAACCUUACCAGGCCUUGACAUACAGCGAAUCCUCCGUAAUGGGAGGAGUGCCUUCGGGAGCGCUGAUACAGGUGCUGCAUGGUUGUCGUCAGCUCGUGUCGUGAGAUGUACGGUUAAGUCCGGUAACGAGCGCAACCCUUGUCCUAUGUUACACAUGUCAUAGGAGACUGCCAGCUUUAAGCUGGAGGAAGGUGAGGAUGACGUCAAAUCAGCAUGGCUCUUACGGCCUGGGCGACACACGUGCUACAAUGGUUGGUACAAUGGGCCGCUAAGCGGAAACGCGGAGCAAAUCCCACCAAAGCCAAUCUCAGUUCGGAUUGGGGUCUGCAACUCGACCCCAUGAAGCUGGAAUCGCUAGUAACCGCGCAUCAGCCACGGUGCGGUGAAUACGUUCUCGGGUCUUGUACACACCGCCCGUCA
rnacentral:rRNA from 1 species